CAGUCGCCACGGUAAUACAGAGGGUGCGAGCGUUAAUCGGAUUUACUGGGCGUAAAGCGUGCGUAGGCGGCUUUUUAAGUCGGAUGUGAAAUCCCUGAGCUUAACUUAGGAAUUGCAUUCGAUACUGGGAAACUAGAGUAUGGGAGAGGAUGGUAGAAUUCCAGGUGUAGCGGUGAAAUGCGUAGAGAUCUGGAGGAAUACCGAUGGCGAAGGCAGCCAUCUGGCCUAAUACUGACGCUGAGGUACGAAAGCAUGGGGAGCAAACAGGAUUAGAUACCCCAGUAGUCCCUGUCUCUUAUAC
rnacentral:rRNA from 1 species